rnacentral:rRNA from 1 species
UACGUAGGGCGCAAGCGUUGUCCGGAAUUAUUGGGCGUAAAGAGCUCGUAGGCGGCUUGUCACGUCGGGUGUGAAAGCCCGGGCUUAACCCCGGUCUGCAUUCGAUACGGGCUAGCUAGAGUGUGGUAGGGGAGAUCGGAAUUCCUGGUGUAGCGGUGAAAUGCGCAGAUAUCAGGAGGAACACCGGUGGCGAAGGCGGAUCUCUGGGCCAUUACUGACGCUGAGGCGCGAAAGCUAGGGAGCAAACGG